GACGAACCGUGCGAACGUUAUUCGGAAUCACUGGGCUUAAAGGGCGCGUAGGCGGGCGACCAAGUCAGGGGUGAAAUCGUUCGGCCCAACCGGACAAGGGCCCCUGAUACUGGUUGUCUCGAGGGAGGUAGGGGUCGAUGGAACUUCCGGUGGAGCGGUGAAAUGCGUAGAUAUCGGAAGGAACGCCGGUGGCGAAAGCGAUCGACUGGACCUCUUCUGACGCUGAGGCGCGAAAGCCAGGGGAGCAAACGGG
rnacentral:rRNA from 1 species